UUUCCGUAGGUGAACCUGCGGAAGGAUCAUUGUCGAAACCUGCCCAGCAGAACGACCCGCGAACUUGUAUAAACAACCGGGGGCGGGGGGCGUUCUCGCCCCGUGCCCCCGAACGGCGGGGAGACACUCGUGCCUUCUUGCCGAACAGCGAACCCCGGCGCGGUCUGCGCCAAGGAACUUCAACUAAAGAGUGCCUCCGGUCGCCUCGGAAACGGCGUGCGUGCCGGGGGCGAAUCUUGUGCAAAACCAUAACGACUCGCGGCAACGGAUAUCUCGGCUCUC
rnacentral:misc_RNA from 1 species